UGUUCUGCAGAAUGAUGGCACGAGAGAGAAAAAAACUGUCUUUGGAUCUAGUUGUCUUGGUAUACAAUGCCCUAUAGCAGCAUCCUGAAGGAAG